CGCACGGGUGCGUAACGCGUAUACAAUCUACCUUUUACAGGGGAUAGCCCAGAGAAAUUUGGGUUAAUACCCCGUGGCAUAUAUUUAUGGCAUCAUAUAUAUAUUAAAGAUUCAUCGGUAAGAGAUGAGUAUGCGUUCUAUUAGCUAGUUGGUGCGGUAACGGCGCACCAAGGCUACGAUAGAUAGGGGCCCUGAGAGGGGGAUCCCCCACACUGGUACUGAGACACGGACCAG
rnacentral:rRNA from 1 species